rnacentral:tRNA from 1 species
UAGGAUGAUGCCUGAUUAAAGGGUUAUUUUGAUGUAAUAAAUUAUGUUUAAUAAACUCUUCCU